rnacentral:rRNA from 1 species
CGGGAAGAGCUCAAAUUUAAAAUCUGGCAGUGUAUUCUGUCCGAGUUGUAGUCUAGAGAAGCAUCAUCCGUGCUGGACCAUGUACAAGUCUUUUGAAACAAGGCAUCACAGAGGGUGAGAAUCCCGUCUUUGA